AUUCCAAGACGUAGAUGACCACAAAAGUCUCCUCCACUAUUCUCACUUCAGACUGUGAUUGUAAGAACAAAUUAGUGAUUGAUUUAAUGAUUUUUUUUAGGGAAAAUAAAAUUAUAAACUCUUCAUAAUCUCUUUUUAAAUUCUUCAGCUUUUUUCAUCCGAUCUCCACUAAUCAUCAUCUCUUCAUGUACAAUACACACACAUAUAUAUACAUACAGCAGUGCUUCAAGUGACAGAUUGAUGUCGAACUUCCUCUUACCACUUUGACGAUGCCUUGCUGCUCCGAUUUUGACAUUGUCGCGCUUUUGUUUCCAUUCAAUGGUGCUUCAAGUGACAUGUGCUACACCCAAUUACCAAGUGUUGAAUGAAAGAGUUCGGUAGGGCCAUCGGUGGAGCGUGGAGCAUGUCAAUCUUUACGGCAUUGAUUUUUGUGUCGAAUGAAAGAGUCCGAUAGGGCCAUCGACGGAGCAUGGCAAUCUUUGUGGCAUUGAUUCUUCCCUUUUUUUACAUUAAUUUGUAUUAAUUUCUCAUCCUUGCUUCUUCUCUAUUUUCAUAUAAUUUUUGAGCAAUACUGUUUUGUUUGAAUACUGUCCCCAUACCUAUUUUGUUCAUUUUCAUGUAUAGCCUUUGGUUUCGAUCCCCUCACCAAAUAUUUAAUGGAUGUUAAUGUAUGUCUUCGAAUUCGUUUCACUGAAGCACCUAAGAUAUUUGUUUGAUUGCUUGUUCC
rnacentral:lncRNA from 1 species